AAACUCUAUGCAUGCAAGUCGCUUUGGAUCAAAGCGUCUGCUAAAUGGAAUAUA
rfam:Salmo salar isolate Sally breed double haploid chromosome ssa16, whole genome shotgun sequence.